UUUGGUGGUAGUUCUGAUGAGGGGGAGCAUCGCCCUCAUUCUCAGCCAGUGGAACAAGAACAAAAAACUGUGAGAGGACGUACAUGGAUGUCUAAAAACACCAAAAAAAGGAAUGAAGGACAUCUUACACGUGUUGAAUACAACGAGUAUGGUCAAAUAGUUGGUGAGACUAGAAGCAAUGUUUCAUCACAACUUGGAGCUAUUGUUCGAGCCACUGUGUCCAUCAACACUAAAACUUGGAACGAUGUUAGUAUGGUAGAUAAAAAUAUAAUACGGGAUACAGUGAAGAAAACUUAUGAUUUGGACCCCAAACAAAAGAAACAAAUGUUGAUGGAUGCGAGAAAGUGCUUCUGAAAUUGGAAGACUAAUCUCACAAGGGUACACGUGUAUGACGCUAUGAAAAAAUUCCCAAAUGAGUUCCCGCCAGCUAUUCCACUUGGAUUUGAGAAUGUCAUAACUCCAGAUGAAUGGUUACAGUUUGUGAACUCAAGAUUAACUCCCGAGUGGGGUAGAAAGAGAGAAGAGAUGCAAAAUUAUCGAGCAUUGAAUAAAUACAAUCACAACCUCUCUAACAUAUUGAAGAGAUGUUAAUGGAACAAAGUGGGAAAAGUCUGACUGAACUUGACAGGGCAGACUUGUGGAGCAUGGGUCAUCAGAAUGCAAAAUGAGAGCUAGUUGGAGAGGCCUUUGAGAUUCAAAAAACUAUUGAUCAUUACCGUAAACUCCAAGCUGAGGGUAAAUGGGCACCUGAUGACCCUGAUGAUGUGCUGACGAGGGCAUUGGGCACUCUUGAGCCCCAAGGACGUGUUAGGGCUGGAGGACACGGUGUGUCCCGCACAGUAUACUGGAAUACUCCAACACUUACCUCAAAGAAAAAUAAAUCGAAAGCCUCUUCUUUGAAUGAUGACAUUAGGAAGGAGUUUGAAGAAAGAUUUCAAAAACAAGAAGAAGAGUAUUGUCAACAAGCACAAUGUCUAGAAGAGCGCCUUCAGCAACAAGAUGAGCUCUUGAGAAAAUUCAUGGCCCAACAGAGUGGGUCGGGAUCCAAUGUUGGAGUCCCCCCAGCACCACCAUCAUACUAUGUGCCCAACCCACCAGUGCCCACUAGCGCAUGCAUCCUACUAUACUCCUGACCCACUAGUGCCUCAAGCAGAAGAACAAAUUAUUGCACUACAACUGCUUUUGCAAGAGGCCGAGCAUGCCAAUUAGCAAUUGGUUCGGUUUCAAACGUUGUUGCAUUAGGUAAACUCAUUGAAAGAGAGGCAGGCAACAACUACCAAGUUAUGAUUACUAGCAUUAUUAAGCCAACCUGUCCUCUACCUUUUGUAUAUCCUGAUUUGGACAUGUACAUAGUUGCUCAAGCCAUUGGGACGCCAAUAGCGUGGCCUAAGGAUUUGGUCAUUAUAUCUGAAGAUAUAUAUCAUGAGGCUCCCUCUACAAGUAGGACCAGAUCACAACGACUAAAAGCUCCAUCAACACAACAACCACGAGAAAGAAGACAACCACAAACUCCUCCAACACAAUUGCCCCACACUCCAUUGGAACGAUUACAAAAUAUCGUAUCUCAUUGGGCUGAUGACGAGUGUGUUAAUCUAGGCAUAGAGUCUGAAGUUUUUGAUCAGGAUAUGUCUCACUAUUAUAUAUUUAAGGAUGACAUACUUUAGUUUGCUCGAAAGGAGAAGAUUGGACAAGCAGUGGUCGUCAGCUAUAUGAGGUUCAUUUAUAGAUAUGUGGUACAACAAGGUCGCCAAAAUAAAUUUUUAUUUGUCAAUCCUAAUAUUGUAGCCACUCAAGGGAGUUCAUUCGACGAUCGUGUUCAAAAUCUGUUCAGACGAUGCAAUGACAUAAAAUUAAAAGAACAGUGAACAUUGGAUGUUGCUUAUUUUGGCACCGUAUGCAUAUCAUGUUUACUGUUGUGAUCCGGUGAAUUCAAAUCUGAAUAACCACGAGGAGAUUGUAUCAGUGAUCGUCAGCGCUUUGAAUCUUUUUUUCUCUAUGAACCUUCCUGAUGUCGAGAUCCCUGAUACUCUACGCAUUAAGCAACCUUAGAGGCACAAAUUGAUGAGUUGCGACAAGAAUGGGCGACAUAUAUGUUACCAAUAAUCCAAAGUAACCGACCUCGUUGAUGGUUUUUUUUUUAUUUUUUACCUCUUUCUUCACACAUAAUGCAAUAUUUGUUAAUUUGAAUAUGUCUAACAAAUAUUGUAUUUGGUUUUUUUAUUUUUUACCUCUUUCUUCAUACACAAUGCAAUAUUUCAAUUUAAUUAUGUCUAACAAAUAUUGUAUUUCUUGUAUAUGUCUAACAAAUAUUGUAUUUCUUGUAUA